UGAAAAUGAGCGCCAAUUUUCGUUGCCCGUAAUUCAAAAGUUUUCGAUAGUCUGCGGAAUUGGUUAAUUAAAACACACGUGUAGUAAAUAAUGGGCGUGUCAUGGGUGGGGCUAAGUUGUACACGUGUAUUGUUAUGGACUGGAGCAAACAAGAGAAAGAUUUGGAUCGUAUCUUUUUUAAAAACUUCAGUCUCAUACAAAGGGGGUCACAAGAACACAAAGAUUUUUGGAAAUUUUUUUAUCGAUAUCAAAAGUUCAAUGCCAGUAAAGAAAAGACUAAAGCAGAAAAAAAUGUAGAAUGGUCCGCGUCCAGUGAAGGAGAGAGUUCAAAAGAUCCAUUCUCAUUUCCUCCAGUGUACGACAGGUCUCACAGAAUAUGCUUCAAUGUGGAGACUGAUAACUUAGAGUAUCAGUUGAGAGUUCUCCAGCAGAGGAGGGAAGACGAGAGGAAGAAAAGUUCUCCAUUGACGCUAAAGCAUUUGCUUGAAUUCCGCUCUGUCAUUCGUCACUUUCUUAACUUUCAGCAGAAGACAAAGUUCCAGAGGAUUCAAAAGAUAAUACGAGAUCAGUCCGAACUACCAAUUUACCAAUUCAAGGAUCAAAUACUGAGCGCUGUCAGGGAUAAUCAGGUCGUAUUGAUUGCUGGUGACACUGGGUGUGGCAAAUCAACACAAGUACCGCAGUACUUACUAAGAGGGUCUUAUGAGAAGAUAGCUUGUACCCAGCCGAGGAGAAUAGCUUGCCUUUCUCUUGCUAAACGUGUGAGCUAUGAGACUCUGAAUGAGUAUAGAACUGAGAUAGCGUAUCAGGUCAGGUUUGAACGAUCAAGAACACCUGCUACUAAAGUACUCUUCCUUACUGAAGGUCUUUUGCUACGUCAGUUAAGCACUGAUAGAGAUCUCAGUCGUUAUGAUGUCAUCAUAAUUGACGAAGUCCAUGAGCGUCACAUUAACAGUGAUUUCCUUCUCGGCGUAUUAAGGAUCCUCAUCGAUCAGAGAUCUGAUCUUAAGUUGAUUUUAAUGUCGGCAACAAUCAACAUUUCGUUAUUUUCCGAUUAUUUUCAAGGAGCCCCGGUCAUAAAGGUUCCAGGUAGAUUGUAUCCUAUUGAUUUGCAGUAUAUGCCUAUCAGUAAUGCAUCUGUACUGCAACCAACAGCUCAGAAGAGUUCAAAGUUAGAUCCACAGCCUUACCUAAGGAUAUUACAAUUAAUUGAUAAUAAAUAUCCCAGAUCAGAGAGAGGGGAUGUACUGGUAUUCCUCAGUGGUAUGAAUGAGAUUGCUAGUUUACUUCAUGAAGUCAAGUCUUAUGGUGAAGCCACUGGGAGGUGGAUUGGUCUCCCAUUACAUAGUGCACUAUCCAUUGAAGAGCAAGAUAAGGUGUUCGAUGUUGCUCCUGAUGGUACAAGGAAGUGUAUUAUAUCUACUAAUAUAGCAGAGACCUCAAUUACCAUUGAUGGAAUUAGAUUUGUCAUUGAUUCCGGGAAAGUGAAAGAGAUGGGUUAUGACUCACAUACGAAGAUGAACAGGUUGCAAGAGUUUUGGAUUAGUCAGGCCAGCUCUGAGCAGAGGAAGGGAAGAGCUGGUCGUACUGGUCCUGGUGUGUGUUUCCGGUUAUAUUCAGAGUCGGACUAUUCCUCAUUCCCAGAGUAUGCGACUCCAGAGAUACAGAGAGUCCCUCUUGAGUCACUCGUACUCCAGACCAUUGCACUCGACCUGGGGAAUAUUAGGAAGUUCCCAUUCAUUGAAUCUCCUUCAUUAUCAAGUAUAGAGACUUCAGUAGCAUUCCUUAAGGAACAAGAUGCUCUUACAAAUGAUGAAAGACUGACUCCAGUGGGUAAGAUGUUGGCUCAGUUACCAGUUGAUGUGGUCAUUGGGAAGAUGCUCAUUAUGGGCUCUCUGUUUCAUGUGAUAGAGCCAGUAUUAAUCAUAGCAGCUGGUUUAAGCGUCCAGUCUCCAUUUACACAAACAGCAUUCAAUCAGGACGAGUCUUCAGCUCAGUCCACAAGACAGUCACUUGAGUCUGAUCAUGGAGACCCUUAUACUUUGCUCAAUGCGUUUGAUGAAUGGAUUAAUGUGAAGAGAGAUGGAGUCAAGGCUUCCUCUCAAUGGUGCAAGAGGAGAGGGAUUGAGGAGCAAAGACUAUAUGAGAUGGUAAAGUUGAGGCAGCAAUUCCGCGACGUACUUUUAGAUCACGAGUUAUUGGAGAGAGAGUUUCACGAGGCAAGUGGAGAGGAGGAGGAGAGGGAGAGAAAGAGCAGGUGGUUCCAACUGUCAGAGGUACAGCAAGAGGAGCUGAGGAGCAUGAGAAAGAGACACAGAACUGAGAACAAGCAAAGAAAAGUACUUAAAAUGGACCACGAGGUUGACGAAGAGGAAGAAGUAUCCAUAGCAGCUGGACUGAAGCACUUGGAAUUUAAAUUACUCCAUGAUCUCUCUCAAUUGCAGGAUGGAUCCAGUGAGAGGAGAUCCUACAGUUUGAGAGACAUCAAUUUAUUGAAGAUUGUCAUAUGUAGUGGACUGUAUCCUCAGGUUGCCAUCGGUGACGAUUGUAACACGUUCAAAAAAGGUUCCGAACAAAUAUUCCAUACCAAAUCCAAGUCAUUCCUAGUCCUUCAUCCAACUAGUGUCUUCUCUUCUAAUCCUGACCUCCUUUUCCAGCAACAAGAAGGAGGAAAGAAGGUUCACUACUUACUGGCGUACGAAAAAUUACUCGAGACCAAUCGACCAUAUAUGGUGAAUGCUCUAAAAGUUCCUGCCUUACAGACUCUGCUAUUGUUCACUCAAUCCAUUGACACAAACGAAUCAUGUUCAAGGUUAGUGGUUGACGAAUGGUUAGAGAUAGUGUUCACUGGCGAGGACACUGGACAAGAGGUAAUGUCCAUAGUACAGACUCUAAGAGGCACCUGGUCACGCAUACUAGAGAUGAAACUAGCUAAGAAAAGCAAGACAAGCCAGGUCUCUAACUAGCACCACCUGUUGUUUAUGGAACCAUUAUGGCUGGUUGCCAGGGGCAGGAAGGAUUAGCCCAUCUGUUGUCAUGUGACAUAAGCCCUUUGAGGCUCUGUUUAAGGAUACACACUCAGCAAUCUAUAGUAGAUAGUAAUGGAUAGUUAUAUAUGAAAGGUUAAUAGGGAAAGUCCAUUUAUUGCACCAUUAGCUUUGAAGUUUCGGGUACAUGUACACAUGUGUAUGUGCAGGUGACUCUGAUUGAUGUGUAGUCUUCCUCUUGCUGACUUUUAUUAGCUCUCUCUCCCUCCCUGUCUUCCUCUCUCUCUCCUUUUCUUUCCCUUUAUUAUGUACUGUAUAUAGUCAAACUUGUCUAUUCCGGACACCUUGGGACCCAAUAAUACUCUCCUGAUCAUAGAAGUGUCCUUAAGUGUAGGAUUGACUGUAUAGAUUAUGAUUGAUGUAUAAUGUAUUGUAUGUGUGUGUCUAUGUAAGUAACUGAUCUGAUGUAUAAUAAUAUCUUUACAUCCAUGAUGCUGUGUGGUAUUGGUACGUGUGAACCUUAUUAUAGACUGGAUGAGAUUGUGGUUGAUCUUGUGAGGCCUCCAAUAAUAAAUAAGAUAAAGCUCUUUGUUCAAUGUGUACUCCUGGGCCGGCCCGUGAGAUGAUAGACUCUAUGCUGGCUUGGUAACAACUUGGCAACUUUUCUUUAAUGUUUCCACUUAUGUCUAUGAGCUGACAAUGCUACCCACAAACAGGGAGAGGGGGAGGGCAGAAGAGAGACUAUAGACAACAGAGGAUAUUGAAAAAUAAAGAUAUAGAUAGAUAGUAAGAUAGAAAGAGUGUACUUUCAUUUUACUCAAAUAGUUUAAUCUGCUAUGUUAAUCGUGAGAGAUAGAUUAGGUCACUAUAUUUACUAUUUUUAUUGCACCAGGUCGAAUUUUGGCAUUGAACUUUGAUCCACGUGAUUAUCUUGUGUAGUCAGCACUCCGAUAUAUACUCUUUGCAAUAUUAUAGCGACCAUUUUUUAUUGUUUUUGCCAAAACUUGUGCAUGCAUGUUUUUCCUACGUUUACACCUCAUUGCUGUAGCUCACUGCUUCUAGCUGCUAUCAAGCAAUCCAGUUCAAAGUGUAUCAUUUUAUUGCACUUUCAUUGUGUAUGUAUGUUCCAGCUGUUUGUUAAGACUUUAUACUCUGAUGAUUAUAAUAACUCCACCCAAAACAGAUGGAAACUUUACUGUAUUGUGAUGUUGGAAGUUUAAUAGGCUUUUUAGUUAAGACUCUUUGUACCUUUAUUAUAAGCCAAGGGAAAGACAGAAGACUGUCUGCAUCUCUCUCUCUCUCUCCCUCUUGUGUUUUUUUGAAAGCGGAUAACCAUAUAUUUUAACAGUUUCCAUAUACACUAUGAAUCCAGUACACACACCUUGUUUAUCUAUUCACUCUAUAAAGAUUGUUUACUCUCUUUAGUUGCCUCUAUCAUCAUCACCAGCAGCCUGUGUGCAUAGUGUACACUGUCUAGUAGAACUACCUGUCUGUGUAUCCAUCCUGCCUGUAAACAGUGUCAUAAGUGUCUUUUUAUGUUAAUGUCCUUUCAUCAUUUUUUAUGGUCUGUCUGCCUCGUCAUGCACUCACUAUCGCCUAUUAUAGUCUGUCUGUCUUUGUUUGCUGUUUACUGACUCCAUUGUCUAGUGUUUGCAGUCUUCAUAAUAAUAAUCAACCAAAUGAUACUAAGCCUAUUAUCAUUAUAAUUACACUCACAAAGUAAACCUUUAAUUGACAUUAGACAUAUGCGUACGUUUCUGAUUAUACACUUGUAAUUAAUUUAAUAUAAUUAAUUAAUGUA
rnacentral:misc_RNA from 1 species